rnacentral:rRNA from 1 species
AGUGAACGCUGGCGGUAGGCCUAACACAUGCAAGUCGAACGGCAGCACAGUAAGAGCUUGCUCUUACGGGUGGCGAGUGGCGGACGGGUGAGGAAUACAUCGGAAUCUACUUUUUCGUGGGGGAUAACGUAGGGAAACUUACGCUAAUACCGCAUACGACCUACGGGUGAAAGCAGGGGAUCUUCGGACCUUGCGCGAUUGAAUGAGCCGAUGUCGGAUUAGCUAGUUGGCGGGGUAAAGGCCCACCAAGGCGACGAUCCGUAGCUGGUCUGAGAGGAUGAUCAGCCACACUGGAACUGAGACACGGUCCAGACUCCUACGGGAGGCAGCAGUGGGGAAUAUUGGACAAAGGGCGCAAGCCUGAUCCAGCCAUACCGCGUGGGUGAAGAAGGCCUUCGGGUUGUAAAGCCCUUUUGUUGGGAAAGAAAAGCAGCAGGUUAAUACCCCGCUGUUCUGACGGUACCCAUAGAAUAAGCACCGGCUAACUUCGUG